rnacentral:rRNA from 1 species
CAGCAGCCGCGGGAAUACCGAGGGUGCGAGCGUUAAUCGGAUUUACUGGGCGUAAAGCGUGCGUAGGCGGCUUCUUAAGUCGGAUGUGAAAUCCCUGAGCUUAACUUAGGAAUUGCAUUCGAUACUGGGAAGCUAGAGUAUGGGAGAGGAUGGUAGAAUUCCAGGUGUAGCGGUGAAAUGCGUAGAGAUCUGGAGGAAUACCGAUGGCGAAGGCAGCCAUCUGUCCUAAUACUGACGCUGAGGUACGAAAGCAUGGGGAGCAAACAGGAUUAGAUACCCCCGUAGUCCCUGUCUCUUAUAU